rnacentral:rRNA from 1 species
UACGAGGGGGGCAAGCGUUGUUCGGAAUUACUGGGCGUAAAGCGCACGUAGGCGGCUUUGCAAGUUAGAGGUGAAAGCCCGGGGCUCAACUCCGGAAUUGCCUUUAAAACUGCAUCGCUAGAAUUGUGGAGAGGUAAGUGGAAUUCCGAGUGUAGAGGUGAAAUUCGUAGAUAUUCGGAAGAACACCAGUGGCGAAGGCGACUUACUGGACACAUAUUGACGCUGAGGUGCGAAAGCGUGGGGAGCAAACAGG